rnacentral:rRNA from 1 species
GACGAACGCUGGCGGUGUGCUUAACACAUGCAAGUCGAACGGUAAGGCCCUUUCGGGGGUACACGAGUGGCGAACGGGUGAGUAACAUGUGAGUAACCUGCCCUCAUCUCUGGGAUAACAGUCGGAAACGGUUGCUAAUACUGGAUAUGAGCUUGCAAGGCAUCUUGUGGGUUGGAAAGAUUUUUUUGGUUGGGGAUGGACUCGCGGCCUAUCAGCUUGUUGGUGAGGUAGUGGCUCACCAAGGCUUCGACGGGUAGCCGGCCUGAGAGGGCGACCGGCCACAUUGGGACUGAGAUACGGCCCAAACUCCUACGGGAGGCAGCAGUGGGGAAUAUUGCACAAUGGACGGAAGUCUGAUGCAGCAACGCCGCGUGCGGGAUGACGGCCUUCGGGUUGUAAACCGCUUUCAAUUGUGACGAAGCUUUUUGUGACGGUAGCAGUAGAAGAAGCACCGGCUAACUACGUG